rnacentral:rRNA from 1 species
AACGAACGCUGGCGGCAUGCCUAACACAUGCAAGUCGAACGAGACCUUCGGGUCUAGUGGCGCACGGGUGGGUAACGCGUGGGAACCUGCACUUAGGUUCGGAAUAACUCCCCGAAAGGGGUGCUAAUACCGGAUAAUGUCUUCGGACCAAAGAUUUAUCGCGUUUGGAUGGGCGCGCGUUGGAUUAGCUAGUUGGUAGGGUAAAAGCCUACCAAGGCGACGUUCCAUAGCUGGUCUGAGAGGAUGAUUAGCCAGAAUUGGACUGAGACACGGCCCAGACUCCUACGGGGGGGAGCAGUAGGGAAUAUUGGACAAUGGGCGAAAGCCUGAUCCAGCAAUGCCGCGUGAGUGAUGAAGGCCUUAGGAUUGUAAAUCUCUUUUACCCGGGAUGAUAAUGACGGUACCGGGUAAAUAAGCUCCGGCUAACUCCGUG